rnacentral:rRNA from 1 species
AGUGAACGCUGGCGGUAGGCCUAACACAUGCAAGUCGAACGGCAGCACGGUAAGAGCUUGCUCUUACGGGUGGCGAGUGGCGGACGGGUGAGGAAUACAUCGGAAUCUACUUUUUCGUGGGGGAUAACGUAGGGAAACUUACGCUAAUACCGCAUACGACCUACGGGUGAAAGCAGGGGAUCUUCGGACCUUGCGCGAUUGAAUGAGCCGAUGUCGGAUUAGCUAGUUGGAGGGGUAAAGGCCCACCAAGGCGACGAUCCGUAGCUGGUCUGAGAGGAUGAUCGGCCACACUGGAACUGAGACACGGUCCAGACUCCUACGGGAGGCAGCAGUGGGGAAUAUUGGGCAAUGGGCGCAAGCCUGAUCCAGCCAUACCGCGUGGGUGAAGAAGGCCUUCGGGUUGUAAAGCCCUUUUGUUGGGAAAGAAAAGCAGCAGGUUAAUACCCCGCUGUUCUGACGGUACCCAAAGAAUAAGCACCGGCUAACUUCGUG